rnacentral:lncRNA from 1 species
UCUUAACUCAUAGCAUUUGAGAACAAGUCCCCAACAUCCUUGAUUCGAGGUUAGUGUGUAUCCUCGGGGUUGGAGAAUAUAGUUAAGAUAGAUAUGGAUGAGAUAGACUACAUGAUAUAGGUCAAAGGUUUGUUUGAUGUUAGGUGGGGAUAGACAGAUUAUGCAAUCCAUCAUGACUCUAUUGGUGGAGUUAGCUCUUCUGCUCAUGGUUGAGUUGGUUUAAUGUACUAGGUUAAGUUAAUACCAGGCUAAUGGGGUCCAAAUUCCACUAAUCUAUUUAAGCAAACCACAUUGGAUUAGAUCACACUAGAUUCCAUAAUCCUAUUUAAGAAUACCAUUUGGUUGAGCAUAUCCAGCUGACUUUAUCUUUAUGAUUUUCUAGUAUAUAUUUUUUAAGUGGAACUUCCAAUUGGCAUUUUUUAUGCACCAAAUAAUUUUCAUGCCAUUAACAGGUGUGGCAUAGAAAACAAGGGUACAUCAUGUUUUAGCUGUUAGACAAGUGUAGAGAAGAUUUGGGGUAAAAGAAAGUUAAGUAAGGGAGACUUUUAUUCCGUGUGGUGGAUCUUGAUUCAUCAGAGGAUCUGUUUCUACUCAUAUCUCUCAUUGUCGAGGUUAACUUUCUUCUUGGGUUGGGUUCAGGGACCAUCAGUUGUGGUGUUAGAUGCCAUUAUCUGAGUUGAGAUAACAAUUGCGGGUACAUGGGGUAGGUAGGUCAAACAGAGUUUUACUUUGCUUUUAAGAUAAAUGGGUUACGCAACCUAUAACAUAGGCCGGGUCGUGGUUUCCAUGGACGAGUUGGUUUAAGACACCAAUUUAGGUUUUAAACCCAUUUAUAUGAAGAUGGUCUAAUCUGUGUUACCAGCAUUAACUAACUUGUUUGUCCAUUAGAUUAGAUCUGAUUAGGACUAAAUUGGUAUAACCAGAUUAGACUAGAUAAGAUGUACUAAAUUUAUUUUGGAAUAGAUCAUGUUUGUUACACUAUUAUGAGAUAAGAAAAGUGGUUGGGAUAAGUAUGCUUGUUAGGACAAGGUGAGUCUCUAAGAAGAAGAUAGAAUCUUUUGAAAUCAUUUAGAUCUAUUGGGAUAGGAUAGAAUCUUUUCAAGAUAAGAUGGAUCUAUUUAAAAUAAAUACAUUUUAAUGGAGGAUAAU